GCUCUUUAAGCUUUCCACGGCAUCCUUGAUCAUUUGCUCCAUGGAGCUGAACUGCAUACCCAUAUCAAUCAAUUUCUUCGACGCAUUCUGGGCCCUCAGCAACCCAGGUUGAGUAUCCUUCGGGAAUCUAGGGAUUUUAUACUCGGGGUAACGUUCUGCCACCUUUGAAGCAAAGUCGCUGUAAUGAGCGAUGGAUUCAACACAUAGAUGCCUUCCGGAUGCUGAGGGGUUUUCGUAGAGCAGGAUAUGUGCCAACGCAACGUCUUUGACGUGAACAGAUCCCAUGUAAAAA
rnacentral:misc_RNA from 1 species